UACGGAGGAUCCAAGCGUUAUCCGGAUUUAUUGGGUUUAAAGGGUGCGUAGGCGGCUUUAUAAGUCAGGGGUGAAAUACGGCAGCUUAACUGUCGCAGUGCCUUUGAUACUGUAGAGCUUGAAUGUGAUUGAAGAUGGCGGAAUGAGACAAGUAGCGGUGAAAUGCAUAGAUAUGUCUCAGAACCCCGAUUGCGAAGGCAGCUGUCUAAGUCAUUAUUGACGCUGAUGCACGAAAGCGUGGGGAUCAAACAGG
rnacentral:rRNA from 1 species